GGAGGAAGAAUGUGUGAAUUGAAAAAGUCAGCAGGAUUUCCCUUUUCCCACUUAUUGUAGAAUGUAGUAGAAUCUAGAUCCAGAGAUAGAGUAAACAGUUGAGGACAAAGUUAAUGGAACAUGACUGAGGCC
ensembl:ncRNA C34H3.14 ncRNA